CCUACGGGUGGCAGCAGUGGGGAAUAUUGGACAAUGGGGGCAACCCUGAUGCAGCAACGCCGCGUGAGUGAAGAAUUAUCUCGGUAUUUAACGCUUUAUUUGUAGGGAAGUAGAUGACGGUACGUGAUUAUGUAGCCCCGGCUAACUUCGGUCCAGCAGCCGUGGUACUACGGAGGGGGCCAGGGUUAUCCGGAUUUACUGGGUUUAAAGGGAGCGCAGUGGGCAGUGCAAGUCUGUAGUGAAAGUCAGGGGCCCAACCCGGGAACUGCUAUGGAAACUGUGAGGCUUGAGUACAGGUGGGGUAGGCGGAAUUCGUGGUGUAGCGGUGAAAUGCGUAGAUAUGACGAAGAACUCCAGUGGCGAAGGCAGCCUGCUAGACAGUAACUGACAUUGAUGCUCGAAAGCGUGGGUAGCAAACAGGAUUAGAUACCCGUGUAGUC
rnacentral:rRNA from 1 species